rnacentral:rRNA from 2 species
GCAGUCGAACGGCAGCGCGGGAGCAAUCCUGGCGGCGAGUGGCGAACGGGUGAGUAAUACAUCGGAACGUGUCCUGUAGUGGGGGAUAGCCCGGCGAAAGCCGGAUUAAUACCGCAUACGCUCUACGGAGGAAAGGGGGGGAUCUUAGGACCUCUCGCUACAGGGGCGGCCGAUGGCGGAUUAGCUAGUUGGUGGGGUAAAGGCCUACCAAGGCGACGAUCCGUAGCUGGUCUGAGAGGACGACCAGCCACACUGGGACUGAGACACGGCCCAGACUCCUACGGGAGGCAGCAGUGGGGAAUUUUGGACAAUGGGGGCAACCCUGAUCCAGCAAUGCCGCGUGUGUGAAGAAGGCCUUCGGGUUGUAAAGCACUUUUGUCCGGAAAGAAAUCAUCCUGGUUAAUACCUGGGGUGGAUGACGGUACCGGAAGAAUAAGCACCGGCUAACUA